rnacentral:tRNA from 1 species
GGCCCCGUCGUCUAGCCAGGCCUAGGACACCAGGUUUUCAUCCUGGCGACCGGGGUUCAAAUCCCCGCGGGGUCACCA